AUUGAACGCUGGCGGCAUGCCUUACACAUGCAAGUCGAACGGUAACAGGUCUUCGGAUGCUGACGAGUGGCGAACGGGUGAGUAAUGCAUCGGAACGUGCCCAGUAGUGGGGGAUAGCCCGGCGAAAGCCGGAUUAAUACCGCAUACGACCUGAGGGUGAAAGGGGGGGAUCGCAAGACCUCUCGCUAUUGGAGCGGCCGAUGUCAGAUUAGCUAGUUGGUGGGGUAAAGGCCUACCAAGGCAACGAUCUGUAGUUGGUCUGAGAGGACGACCAGCCACACUGGGACUGAGACACGGCCCAGACUCCUACGGGAGGCAGCAGUGGGGAAUUUCGGACAAUGGGCGCAAGCCUGAUCCAGCAAUGCCGCGUGCAGGAAGAAGGCCUUCGGGUUGUAAACUGCUUUUGUCAGGGAAGAAAUCUUCUGGGUUAAUACCUCGGGAGGAUGACGGUACCUGAAGAAUAAGCACCGGCUAACUACGUGCCAGCCGCCGCCGUAAAAC
rnacentral:rRNA from 1 species